AUGAUAAUACAAAAAAACGUGUCUUAGUGCUUCAAGUUAGUUUGUCUGUUAGUGACAGAGUGCAAACAAUUAAUAUCCUGUGUCGCUGUCGCCAAUGCUAUGCAGCUGUAACCCAGUCAAGAAAAAUAUAUAUUCUUUUUUUUUUUUUUUUUUUUUUUUAUCAUGUCAAUUUAUUCUGGUUGUCCAUAAAGGGACUUUUGUAGUUUUUUCAUAAGUUUAUUAUUUUUCAUUUAUCCGCUGGUGUAAUCAUCAAUACAUAUAUUCAUUGUUAUCAAGUGAAAUUCCUGAUUUAGCGGCGGGGGGGGUUACAACUUUUGCAAGGAACUGUACCCGUUUACCCCCCAAAGGUCUAAUCCUAGAAUCGCCCCUGGUUCACACGAUUACUAAAAUGGUCCAACAACGACAAAUGUAUAUAUUUAAGUAUUUAUUUGAUCAUGAGCAGCAAAGCCAAAGGAUUUCGUUUGCAACAAGGCUCCAGUCGUCCACAACCUACUUCCAGUUGUACUGAGGAUCCGGUUAAAGGCACAGUUUUGAAAAACGUUGAGGCUUUUAAGGCUUUUUAUUUUUCCAAAACAGAUGGACUGACUUAAAUCCACAACUUGGAGUCCCUUCUUUAAUAAUUCAAAGUUCCAUAUGACAGACUGACUUUGUUUUAAUUAGUUCUUGAUGGAACCUUCUCAUGAAUCUGACCCAUGACUGCAGAAACCUGGAUUGUGUCACUGCUUGCGAUGUCUUCACAGACAUAACUCAGAGGGCAGAACUGAACGAUGUUGGGUGCCUACCUACGCACACAUAUCAGAUUGUGAUGAUGCAAUUCUUCUGAUCCCUUUAUUUUGAAUUGUAGCCAAAGACUAGUGCUAGGUAUGAAGACAAUUUGGUUCAUUAUACUCAAUGAAUUAGGGAGAACAGAACCAGAUAGGAAGUUGAUGGAGUGGACUACAACUAAGGGCUGAACUCUAGCUGCAAAUUAGUUUGGAGAGAAAUUUAUUCACCUUUGAUCCAUUCCUAAUCUGUUGCCAUUUACCUUUUUAUAAGAUACAUAGAGUGCUGCUGAAAUAGUGAGACCCCAGCUGAAUAAAAGGCAGAUGACGGUAAAUCAACACUCUCCCAAGGUUUCUGGAAUUCACUUUUGGCUCGCCACGUUUUUGUGUGUAUUAAGUUCCAGCAAUUUGGCACUGAAGUUGACUAAAACAAACAAUGACAAGGCAUAUGUGGAUGCUGUCCAGUCUAAAUCUGUCUCCCCCCUCACCUUGUUCUCUGUCCUUUGACAGCAGCACCUACUUCCAAUAAGCUCUGCAAGGACAAUUCCAGUGUGUGUAGAUUUUCUGCUCUUUCCCACUGUUUCCUAAGCCAAAAAUGCCCCCACCUCAUACUUUACUACCUUCCUACACCAUCUGUAGCUCUCAGCCCCAAGCCCAGUAGCUCUAACUGACUUAAAUCAUUCAUAUUGAGUCACAAAUCUAUAGUUGACAAGGGAAAGAACCCAUGCUUUCUAAUGUAACGAAAAAGACUACCAGCUAUUGGUUGAAAGUUUUACUUUGAAUCUUAUUUUGUUGCUUUAUUUAUUCUGCUAUAUAAGCAGAAAUGCAGUACCAAAUCACUGUCUUUGAAUGUGCACAUCAGUACACUAAAACAUGUAAAUCUACAAUUUUGUAUUAGCAGUCUGGUUGUAAGCCGUCAUUCCCAGUGAUGAGUAGUAAGUAGUUCAGGUGUAACUGAAAACGUUUUUGCGAAACUGAUUAAUAAUUCUUUUUAGUCUUGUAGGAAUGUAAAAACAAGACAAACCAUUAAGGGAUAGGAAUUCUUUUCAGAAACCUCUAAUCACACAAUAAUUGUCCACCUCCUUCCUAUUUAUUGGGCUCCAAAAACACACACCAGAUCUACUAUGUUGUUGUUCAAGCACAUAGGCAUAAAGUGUGAAACUUGCAGAUGUGGGAACAACACCGACACGGUUGAUGCUUUUAGACAAAUCAUUGCAGUUACUUUAGGCAUGUUGUCCUAACAACUAAUCCAGUCAUAGUAGAGUUUAUGUUCAAUAGUUUUGUUAGGGUCAAGUGUGUGAGACAAAGCUAGUUAGCCUGAUUUAUUUUAUUUUAAGUGUAGUCGUAGAGAAAGCUAACUUUUUAGGGUUUCUUACUGAUUAACAACACCCACAUGUACUACACCGUUAACUUUUCAGAAAUAUAUAUAUAUUCAUUCUGACAAUUUUACAUUGGGGUCUUGUGAUACAUGUUUCUCUACUAACCCAGCUCUAAAGUCAAUCCAUGUAAUUAUCCAUGUGUUAAUGAGGGGAACUUUUAACCAUGUAAGGGCUUUAUUCCAAUGGUCACCUUUAUCUAGUUAUUCACUGCAACCAUAUACAUCCCCAUUGAUUGCUAUGCAUUUUUUUAAACAUUUUAAAUUGUUAUCAAUGCUUUUUCUUGGAAGUGGGAUCAGGAAAUAACAACUUAGUUUGGGGGGGCAAAUAGUUGCAAGACACUGAAUCCCUGCCAGAUCUUAGACAAUUACAAUCACUUAACUAUUAAUUAUCAUUACUAUUAUUAUAAUUAUUAAAUGAGUUUCAUUGUAAAAGCGGUGUACCAGGUUUCUCCUCUGGCACAAACGCUGUUAUCCAAUCAACAGCCAAAACUGUAAGAAUAUGUUUCGUCAAAUGUGAUGUCGUCCACUUCAGUGUGGAUGUUUGGGUUUAUGAAUGUAUUGUGAGGCAGGCUGGGGGUUGAGGUUCAUGCUGCUCUGUGGUUUCAUGUCUGCCAUUAAAAAAAUAAAAAAGUUUUCUGAAUGACUCUUUCCAUGUUAAAGAUACUACUGUAAACUAAUACUGCACUGUAAAUAUAUUGUGAAUAUGAAUGAUAAUUUUCAAGAUAACAUUUACAAAUGUUUGCUGUUAAGGCAUGUGGGAGUUAAUUGAGUGAGCGUGUCGAGGGAAGUUGAUUGUAUUCUCUAUGGAAUGUUUCGUGUAAAAACAAAAAAAGCUAAAAAAAUCCCCUUUACUCCCCACUGCAGUUUGCUGUCAAAUAUACUGUCCAGCACUAUGUGGUUGCCAUCUGCAGAGCUACACGGUGCAGUGUAACGCCAUUAGUGUUCCACCACCACUGCGGUGUCAGUCCAAGUAAACGUGAAAGCAUUGUUUACUGAACUCCGACUUACAUUUUUGCCAUUCUAAAGGAAGAAAUCCAAAGCUGUGACCGACUCUGAAACACACUGUUAAGGACGAGGAAUGCUCCCGUCCACCCUUUCCCCUCUGAGCUCAUACUCCUUCUUUUUUUCCUUUUUUUUUUUAAAAAAGAAGCUUUAAAAAAAGAUGAAAACGCAAGCAUGUUGAAAAGUGCUUCAAGAAGUCAACUUCACCAUGAGUGUUUGCAUAAUCGUAUAUGCCCUUGUAUGAUGUUAGUAUCUCUGUAUGUAAAGAUGUACACAGGUUGAGAGUUUGAAGUCCACAAAAAGCUGAGUUCACUCAGUAAAAGAGUUUCACUUCUACAAACAGUUUUGAUAGGCGGAAAUAAUCUCAUCGCUUAUUGCAACACAGCAAACUGGCAUUUAAAUAAGGAGGGCUGGGUACCAUGUUCCAAUGUAAGUUGCUCUAAUGCUGCUUAUGAGAGUGACUUCAUGCUGAUUCCUUGCAUAACAUGUGGACCAGGCAUGAAAAUAAUGUAUUAACAAUAACUUUAGACUUUUUCUAUUGUACCAAGUGGCAAGGAAUGUUGCUUAUUUAUUUAUUUAUUUCAUUCAUGACCUUUACAUUUCACUAGCAAUAACCGUAUAUGCUAGUUGGAAAUUCAGCUAAGCUAUGUAGCUAACCUAAAUAGCUUAUAUAAUGUAUUCGAAAAAGUCAGGCCAGCCCUGUUGCUUAAUUUGUUUUCAAGUAAUUCAAGUAGGCUACAUGUAGUUAUUGGCUAUGUCCUAUUGGCUAUGUACAUUAGCUUACCUAGCUAUCAAUUGCCUUGAAGGGCUAGUUUGAAACUUAGGUAGCUAACUUAGAUAGCUUAUAUAAUGUAUUCUAAAAAGUCUUAUGACAGCCCUGUUGCUUUAUUGGUUUUUAAGUAAUUCAAGUAGGCUAGAUGUAGCUAUUGGCUAUGUCUUGUUGGCUAUGUACAUUAGCUUACCUAGCCAUCAAUAGCAUUGAAGGGCUAGUUGGAAAGCUAGGUAGCUAAAUUAGAUUGGUUAUUGUUAUCCCAAACGAGCAAAGGCUAGCACUGUUGCUAACUCUGCUUCUAAGGAAGUGAAGUCCAUAGCUAUUGACUAUGUUCUUUACUUUGGCUACAUAAUUAGCGAUGGAUUUCAUGCAUAAUUCUACACAUCAGAAUUGUUCUUUUGAACUAGACAACGAUGCGAUUUUACUUAUAUGUAAAUGUUUUGUUAUAAAUUGUUGUCAAAUACUUUAGGAGUAACAAUAUUAGCAUUGUGUACUCAAAAGGUUGUAAGCAGUUGUAAAUACAGUGUAAGGCUGCCUUACUAGCAGCUGUGCUUCGGUCUAGCUAAUGCUAAAAACAGCCCUUUAACUCAAGAUUUGAAUCAAAUAAUAGAAAAAGAAGACAUGCCUUUAUUUAUCCCACAAUGGGAUACUCACAUUUAAUUUAAUGAGAGCGGCUCUGCCUCUGAAAAUUGUUUGUAGGACUAAAACUUUUUUGGGACCCGGUUUCUUCCUGUGGGUGUCCUCGUCCAGAGCCUGCUGAGUUGUAGCUGGCUGUAUUGUAUUUACUCUCUGCAUGUGACCACAACAAAUUGCCAUCCUGUGCACCGUCACCACGCCAAUGACACCCAUGUUUCUCCGACCGGGCACCGCCCGCCGCACUUACUGUGCUGUGAUGAAGAUUAUGAUGAUGAUGAUGACUUUCUGUUAAUGGGGCUUGUAUAUCAGAUGCCUUCGACAAUCAUGUGCACAUAUCAGAGUUACCAUGACGACACAGGACAGAGCGACUGAUUGUGUCUCUUUUGUCUUUCUCCUGGAAUAAAUCCUGAAUGAUGGUAAU